rnacentral:rRNA from 1 species
CCUACGUGUGGCAGCAGUGAGGAAUAUUGGUCAAUGGGCUUACGCCUGAACCAGCCAAGUCGCGUGAGGGAAGAUUGCCCUAUGGGUUGUAAACCUCUUUUGUCAGGGAGCAAUUGGCGCCACGUGUAGCGCUAUCGAGAGUACCUGAAGAAAAAGCAUCGGCUAACUCCGUGCCAGCAGCCGCGGUAAUACGGAGGAUGCGAGCGUUAUCCGGAUUUAUUGGGUUUAAAGGGUGCGUAGGCGGAAUGCCAAGUCAGCGGUAAAAUUGAGGGGCUCAACCUCGCUCCGCCCUUGAAACUGGCGUUCUUGAGUGGGAGAGAAGUAUGCGGAAUGCGUGGUGUAGCGGUGAAAUGCAUAGAUAUCACGCAGAACUCCGAUUGCGAAGGCAGCAUACCGGCGCCCAACUGACGCUGAAGCACGAAAGCGUGGGGAUCGAACAGGAUUAGAUACCCGAGUAGUC